rnacentral:rRNA from 1 species
CUUGUGCUAAUACCUCAUAAGUCUUUACGGAGAAAGCUUUAUGCGCCAAUGGAUGAGCCCGCACUUGAUUAGUUUGUUGGUGGGGUAAUGGCCUACCAAGACUUUGAUCAAUAGCUGAUCUGAGAGGAUGAUCAGCCACAUUGGGACUGAGACACGGCCCAAACUCCUACGGGAGGCAGCAGUAGGGAAUAUUGCACAAUGGAGGAAACUCUGAUGCAGCGAUGCCGCGUGAGUGAAGAAGGCCUUUGGGUUGUAAAGCUCUUUCGUCGGGGAAGAAAAUGACUGUACCCGAAUAAGAAGGUCCGGCUAACUUCGUGCCAGCAGCCGCGGUAAUACGAAGGGACCUAGCGUAGUUCGGAAUUACUGGGCUUAAAGAGUUCGUAGGUGGUUAAAAAAGUUGGUUGUGAAAUCCCGGAGCUUAACUCCGGAACUGCAAUCAAAACUUUUUAGCUAGAGUAUGAUAGAGGAAAGCAGAAUUUCUAGUGUAGAGGUGAAAUUCGUAGAUAUUAGAAAGAAUACCAAUUGCGAAGGCAGCUUUCUGGAUCAUUACUGACACUGAGGAACGAAAGCAUGGGUAGCGAAGAGGAUUAGAUACCCUCGUAGUCCAUGCCGUAAACGAUGUGUGUUAGACGUUGGAAAUUAAUUUUUAGUGUCGCAGCGAAAGCAGUAAACACACCGCCUGGGGAGUACGACCG